rnacentral:rRNA from 1 species
CUACGUGCCAGCAGCCGCGGUAAUACGUAGGUCCCGAGCGUUGUCCGGAUUUAUUGGGCGUAAAGCGAGCGCAGGCGGUUAGAUAAGUCUGAAGUUAAAGGCUGUGGCUUAACCAUAGUACGCUUUGGAAACUGUUUAACUUGAGUGCAAGAGGGGAGAGUGGAAUUCCAUGUGUAGCGGUGAAAUGCGUAGAUAUAUGGAGGAACACCGGUGGCGAAAGCGGCUCUCUGGCUUGUAACUGACGCUGAGGCUCGAAAGCGUGGGGAGCAAACAGGAUUAGAUACCCUGGUAGUCCACGCCGUAAACGAUGAGUGCUAGGUGUUAGACCCUUUCCGGGGUUUAGUGCCGUAGCUAACGCAUUAAGCACUCCGCCUGGGGAGUACGACCGCAAGGUUGAAACUCAAAGGAAUUGACGGGGGCCCGCACAAGCGGUGGAGCAUGUGGUUUAAUUCGAUGCAACGCGAAGAACCUUACCUACUCUUGACAUCCAUGGAAUCUUGUAGAGAUACGAGAGUGC